rnacentral:tRNA from 2 species
GAAACCCCGGGCAGCUGCCAACUCCAGAUUUGCAGUCUGACAUGUAUACACCUCGGGGUU